rnacentral:rRNA from 1 species
UCCAAGUCCAGCAAUGAGUACGGUAAUGCUGACAUGGCCCAAAGAGGGUGAAAGGCCCGUUGGGGUGGAGAGGCAGAAAUGACAGCACCUUCCUGGAUAGACCUUGGAGUCGGGUUGUUUGUGAAUGCAGCCCAAAGUGGGUGGUAAACUCCAUCCAAGGCUAAAUACUUGCACGAGUCCGAUAGCGAACAAGUACCGUGAGGGAAAGUUGAAAAGUACUUUGAAGAGAGAGUAAACAGUGCGUGAAACCGCUCAGAGGUAAACAGGUGGAGUUGAACUGUGAGCUCUGUGGAUUUAGCUGGUGAGUGUGGUUUGAGCUUGGUCAAAUUGGUUGAUGCUCGGGGUCUGCGUAUCAGCAGGUCUUCACCUUCGGGUGGAGAUGCGCGAUGCACUUAUCAAGUGUUGCGCGCUUCGAGUUUAUUCGGGCCAGCUUGCCAGUGCACUUUCGCAGAGCGGUCACCACGACCGGCAUCGCUGUCUUGCUGUUGUGGUUAAACCGGCCUCGCAUUGUCCUUGUGGCUUUGUCUGGUCGGGAUGGCAGGUAGCCCGUUGGCUUUCCUGUGGCUUGCUACAGGAGUACGGUCCUCGGGUGUAAUCAGCUGACCACAUCGGUUAUGUGCAGUAUGUCGGAGACGGCGGCUUGUGGUGUGUGCGUGCGUGCCAGUCGGUCGGCGUGUCCGGGUUUGGUUGUUAUUUGCCUGUGUUCACAGGGCUAGUGAUAUCCCGGAUUCGUUCGGUCGGCGGCUGCGUGCGUGUCACUGUUUCCAGGGCCAAUAGUCUGUGGUGUUGCGGUAGACUAUCCACCUGACCCGUCUUGAAACACGGACCAAGGAGAGUAACAUGUGCGCGAGUCAUUGGGCGUAACGAAACCCAAAGGCGAAGUGAAAGUGAAGGUCUGGCUUGUCCGGACUGAGGUGAGAUCCUGUCGUGCCUCAUGCGCGGUAUCACCAAGCAUCGAGCGGCAGGCGCAUCACCGGCCCGUCCCAUGGUGUGAUGACCCUAUUCAGAGUUUGUCAUCGGGGCGGAGCAUGAGCGUACAUGUUGAGACCCGAAAGAUGGUGAACUAUGCUUGCGCAGGUUGAAGCCAGAGGAAAC